rnacentral:misc_RNA from 1 species
AGCUGAUGUGGGUAAACAUGAAGAGGAGGCGGCUAACUUGAGAGGCAGCGUGAUAGGGAGUGGGGAAGGGUGGUGGGUGACGGUGAAGAGGUGGGUGGAGGAGCGGUUCCGGUGGGUUAAGGGUAAGCUGAAGCCGUGGGCAGAGUUGCUGUAUCUGGACGUGGCUAUGCGCCUGACGUUAAUGAGGCUGGGGUGGGCGGUGGUGGACUCUAUGGUCGAGUCCAAGUAUGUUUUUGGUCGCUACAGAGUUCUCCUCAAGUUCUACAGAAUUCUGAUUAAUGAGCUCAGAUGCCGUUGGUAGGAGUUCCAGGCUGCUGGCGCAAAGUUGUGUGAUAUGUCUUUGCAGAUGGCGUGCUGGUACCUUUCUAGGAUCCGUAAGCAUGUAUUUGUUUUGUUUUGCUGUAAGUGUUGGGUAGCUCCAAGACUCCCCACUGUUUCAUUUUCUAAUUUAGUGAUGUUAGGGCUCAUCAGCUGAUCGCCCG